rnacentral:sRNA from 1 species
UCCAUCUGUCCAUUUAUUCAUCUAUUUUUCUGUGCACCUGUGUUGUAUACAUUUUUGCGUUUGCAUGACUGCACACGUACGUAUCGAGGCUUGACAUAGAUAAUGUGAGCCUUCCUCAAUCACUGCUGAAUUCAUGAAUUCACACACAAAUCAAGCUGGCAAUCUUGCUCUAGGGAUCCCCUGUGUGUCCUUCAAGCUUUGGAAUUACAGUGUGGCUGCCACGUCCGUUUAGCAUUUACCCGGGUGCUGGGAUUCGAACUCAUGUAUUCAAAGCAGUCACUCUGUCUACUAAGACAUUUUCCCAGCCUCCUUAUUUCCAACCACAAUUUCUUAGCAGUGGCUUUUGUGAUCCCAAAGUGCCCUUGGCAACCAGCUUUUGAAAACUGCAUUUUAGAAGGCAGGAUGCCUCCCCGAGGGCAAACAUUCCUGAUGUCGAAAGAUUAAAGUUUGAAGAAUUAUGGGUGAGAUGGAGAAAUUAAAAAUGCAUAGCUCAGCUCACAGAGAAUCACAAGGGUCUCUGAUUUAUCAAAUUAAAAGACACAUUUUUUUGUUUUAAAUUGCAAUCAGCGGGCUUUUGGUUGACUUCCAGGCAUUACUUGAUUUGAACAGACUUGCUUUCAUGGUGAAGAGCAAGCCUUUCUUUCUCAUUCUAGAAGGGAAUCCAUCCCAUGAAUGUUGUUCAAGUAGGGAAAACCAAGUGCAGCUGCUUUCCCUGUGUGGAGUGUUAGGUUACUGGUGUUGGGCUUCAGUUUUCUGUUCCUUCCGUCACCCGGACAAGCUCUCCCGCCACACACAGGUCACGUGGAACAGUGGCAUAGGGGGAGGCCACGCUGACUUUGUUUUUCCGUGGUUUCUGUUCACUCUUUCAUGACUUCAUUGCAAGACAGUGUUUUUUUUUUUUUUAAAAGACCUCGUGCUGGCAAACAGGAGUUGACUUACCAGACCAUAACAACUUUUUGGAGUCUCAGGGUCUGUGAUGUAAAUUCUAGUUUGUUUUUUAGAGGCUUUCGUAAUCCACUAUGUAAAAAUAUGCAUUUGCAUAAUUUCCAAAACACUUUUCUUUGAAGCCACUGUCCUUCCAGCCUUCCUGUUGGUCAUGCGGACACCAAGGACCUGCAAGUUUGAGUUCCGGCAUUGCCACUUUGUCAUCUUCAAACUGAGGGAGAGCUGGAACAAGCUGCUUUGGAGGGAGGCAAGUCGUCAGUCCUCAUGCACUUGACCUUUGUUGAAUUAAACUACAAGGGACCCAGGAUCCCAACCUUCUGAGGACCGCCCCCUCCGCCCCUAUUCUAGCACCCAUCACAAGGCUGUUGUGAGAUGGUCAGGGAACCGGACUUCAGCUCUGACAGCAGCGCUUGAAGAAACAUCAUUGUGCUUUCUGUCUCCAGCUCUGUUGAGUAUGUAUGUAAUUGGUGAGAAUGGACAGACACAAGGACUACUGUUACUUCUCGAGGCUCCAAUUCCCAAGAAGACAUGGUGUUCAGCUGUAUCUUCGAAGAUGUACCCGUCCAAAGGGAGCUUGGUCUCCACGGGUUAGGCAUGCAGAGAGACACAGAUGUUCACGGACCCCCAACCCACCCGCAAGGCACACUGUCGUAAGUUCUCCGUCCUACCUAUAGAGCGACGGCUUGCCUUUAUUUAUUGCACUUGGAACCCUCCAAGGUUUCUUUUCUGACUUGAUCUCAUUUGCAUCUCAAAAAGAGAGAGAGAACAAGUUUGACUCCAAUUUUACCAGAGAGGAAACUGAAUCAUGUCCUUCCCAAACCCCCAGGAUACGAACCUUAGACUGGGGGCAGUGUUAGAGAAGGUGCCUUAAAAGAAGUAAUUACAUGAAAAUGGGGUCACUGGGGUGAGCUCUAAUCCAAUCUGACUGGUGUCUUUAUACAGAGAGAUUAGAGCACAAAUACAAACACCCAGGCAAGAUCACAUGAUCACACAGCGAGAGAUUCCUGCAAAGACAAGAGGGAGGCAGGCCCAGAAGAAGCCAACCUCUCCCCACCCUUUUGUCCACAAGUCUUGGUUUUCAGUACGGGAAGAAAACUCUAUUUUAAGCCACCUGAUCCUCGGUAUUUUAUCAUGGCUGCCAUGCGGACUACUACGGAUUCCCAGGUUCUGAAACUUCCCCAAGGUCUCACGCUUAGCGAGAGCCAGAGUGAACAUCAGUUCUCAAGUCUUACACCUUGUAAAUCCCUUAUGGAAUAAAAUAUUUUACAUAUGGAAACCAGUUCUGCCGCGUAGCUGGCGAUGUGCAGUGGCUCUCACUGACUGCCACGCUGUUUGAAUCGUAUUUAUAGCAAAAUGUCUCUACGCACGGGGGAAGGCGGUCCAGGGCUGCUGCCCUGUUCCGCGUAGUCCAUCCAUGGGAACGCUAAGGAAAGCUGUUUAUCUGUCCUGGUUUGUCCAGUGUCCAGUGUCUCAGCACCGGAAGGAGAAUGACAAGGUAAUAAACAAACAACCUGCUAUAUUCUGACAGAGCCAAGGCCAGUGAGAACAGCCUUCUGGCCAGCACACUUACACCCCCAGCACCCUCCCUACCCUGGGAGCCAGGCUCUGAUGUUGCUCUGUCCACUGCCUCUUGGUGACUCCAGUCUGUGGUCUUUUGCUUUGCAUUGGGACACGGAACUGAAACUCGGAUGUGAGCAGAGUUUUACAUGAGGAACCCAUUUCUCUCUUUCCUCCUUGCCUUGGGUUGGAGGCUCCAAACUGGGCUUAACCCCGGGAGGAAUGUUCUCAAACCACAAGGAACAAGACUUCCUCUGGCACAGAGUGGCCCCAGAAUGGGUGGCUGAGGAUCCCCUGUAUAUGGGCCCCAUCGUCCCCUCUCUGCCUACAGGGCUGUAGCUACAUUUGUCCUUCCUGGGAGUGAGGUAGGGGCAGGGAGUGAAGGCUGACUUUCCCAGCAGGCGGACAUCUAGCUAUCUGGCUAAGAUAGUAACUGUUGAAAGUGACAGUGACAUAGUCCAUACUCACAGACUCAACAGCAUGCUCCCUUUCGGGUUCUGGAGCCGGGCUCUGUCCUGCUUAAGGUCUACCAGACAUAAUGACAUUGCAUCCUGCCUGUCCCUAGGUCCAAAAGCUAAGGGUUCUGAGGACUCACGUUCUUGCUCAUUCAUUUAGAAAACGGGUUGGAUUCAUGAGAAGUCUGGGUGGCAUCUUCUUAUUGACAUCUUUGUAGCCUUCAGGAAGAUCAUUGGAUCCAUAUCAACAAACGCAUACACUUGGCAAUCGUCCCAAUAUACCAAUAAAAGCCAAUUUCCAAUCUGUGAUCUCCAUGCCAAGCGGUAGAGUUGGACCCUUGCCAGGACUAUGGCACGGUGACCCUGGAGUUGUGGGAAUCUUUUUUUUUUUUUUUUUGGUUCUUUUUUUUCCGGAGCUGGGGACCGAACCCAGGGCCUUGCGCUUCCUAGGUAAGCACUCUACCACUGAGCUAAAUCCCAUUUUCAUGAUUUCCACAGGAGAACUGCUCCGGCUCCCGGCGUCCCACAGCAGAGUACUUGUGUUUUCCAUUUGCUCCAAGUCUCUAGCUGUGUCUUAGGGAGGUGAUGGUGGCGUUGGCAAUGGAAUCAAGGGCCUUGACAAGUAAGUGUGCUCAGAAAGCACGCUACCAUCAAGUGAACUGCCUUUUGAACCCCACCCCACUAGACUUAUCAUCAAAGCUCCAGCAACGUUUCCAGCCAUACACGCAUGGGGACAGCUUCCUGAGGAAGAGUCCCCCAGAUUCAGGCCAGCAACGCAUCUGGAAGAAAGGGAGCAAACCAGGGCUGCUUUCUUCUGACUCAGCCCACCUGAGGGGGGUCGCAGAAGGGAGGCACCUGGAAGCCAGCAGUCGCCCAGGAAGAGGUCUGCUCCUGGAAAGUCUUCAAAGCCAGGUGAAGUGUAGCAUCCUGAAGGAAAAAGGAGGGCCGGGCAGUGGGCCACUCCGCAGGAAUCAAAGCCAGGGGCAGGGGAGAGGGUGUGGUGGGCUGCUGACAGAAAGAAGUGGCUGGCUGCUCGCUCCAAAGGGGACCUGUUCCCAGCUUGCCACUUGGAUGGCACCUUUCAAAGCCCUUCAGAGACACCAGGACAAAGGGAUGAGAGGCUCCGCAGUGAGGGUGCGGCACCUCCCCGUCUUUGAGCUCAGUGCAGCUACAGAGCCGCCCUUGGCCACUCUGUGCUCCCUCGCUGGUGUCCUUUGAUCCGCCGACUGCUCCAGCAGCCCUUUCGAGGAAGCCAGAGAAGGGGCGCCCAGCUCCCACCGGAGAGGAGGUAGGGUUUCUUUGAAAUGGAAUGACAAUCUUGUUGGCUUAACAGGAAGCUAUCCACCCCAAAGUUGGGUUUGUUUCUCACCUUCCCCCACCAAACCAAGAAGUAGGUCAAGCAGGUCAUUUGCAAGAAAGCGCCCUUCGUUCAAGCGACUCUCAUUCACAGAGAGGCUGGGUGGAUGGGCAUUGGUUGUUAUGUUAGAGGGUGAGAACGUAGUGCAUGCCCAUAGUGCAUGCCCAGACAGAAUGGUUCCUUAGGCAUAGCGUGAGAAGCCAAUGCCUGCCGCCUGCCUUGAAGUGUUCCUUCACAUUGUCUUAACGUUUAUGAGUCCUUUGCGGACCAGACCACACCUUUCUCUCCUGGCUGGUUCUGCUGGUUGUAACAGGUCAUUAAAACAGCUGUUUACAGACUGCUUGACCAUUCCCAUCUUGAACUCUUCCUGGACAGGAGACAGCUGCUCCUGAGUUUACAUGUUAAAUAAUAAAAUAAUAAUAAAUAAUAAUAAUAAUACCACCUUUUCCAGCUAGGCUCAUCUUCCAGAAAACAAAAGGUAGAGCCCUUUAAUAACAUCAUCCAGAUUCAAUUCAAACUAUCGUCUCAAAUUUUGGAGCACCAGCAACUCUGUUUAAUAUUCCAAAAGAAUGAUUUCUGAGACUAAGAGAUUACAGAUUGAGAGAGAAGUACAGUUGCUUGCUGGUCUUGGAGUCGGGAGGUUGAGAUGUGGGUCUGGCCAGUGUGGCAGGAAGAUGACAUCACGGUGGUUCAGGCAAAGUGCCCACAACAUGUCCUUUCUUCCAAAUGUCUCUCCUCAAGAGUAGGAAAUCAACUUCUCAAAAGUCGGGAAGCUCUCAGUGUUUUCUCGGUUAGAGUUGUCAAUAUGAAGCCACACUCACAAUGUGCUGUUUUGGGUUGGUGGCCUGCAGCUAGGACUGACCGCUCUAAAGGCUGUCUGUCGGUCACCUGACUCUGGAAGGCAAGGAGCACAGCUCACAUUUCAGAUACCUGAGGAUCCUGAAGACAGCCAGGUUGAUAAGCCUGAAGAGAGAUACUCCCAGGGUUGACUGGUGACAUGGGGCUGGUGGAUAACAUUCCUCUGCCAUCUAGUGGCGCUGGCCUAUACUUCCCUCUCAGAGAAACUUCUAGGGGCUCCCACACCCCGGCAGAGUGCCUAGAGUUUUAUUUCUUUCAUUCAGGUUGAGUUUUUUAAAUCAGCCAUCCUAAGAGUCAGUGAGACUGUUCAGGAAGUGAGGGCACUUCUUACGGAGCCUGGAUGCCUGAGUUUGAGCCCUGGAGCCACAUGAUCGAAGGAGCACACCUGUCUACUCCACAUGGUAGAGGGAGAGCGCCUGUCUACUCCACAUGGUAGAGGGAGCGCACCUGUCUAGUCCACAUGGUAGACGGAGAGCGCUUGUCUACUCCACAUGGUAGAGGGAGAGCGCCUGUCUAGUCCACAUGGUAGAGGGAGAGCGCCUGUC